rnacentral:rRNA from 1 species
UACGUAGGUGGCAAGCGUUGUCCGGAUUUAUUGGGUUUAAAGGGUGCGUAGGCGGCCUUAUAAGUCAGUGCUGAAAUAUCCCGGCUUAACCGGGAGGGUGGCAUUGAUACUGUAGGGCUUGAGUGUAGUCGAGGUAGGCGGAAUUGACGGUGUAGCGGUGAAAUGCUUAGAUACCGUCAAGAACACCGAUAGUGUAGACAGCUUACUAGGCUACAACUGACGCUGAGGCACGAAAGUGUGGGGAUCAAACAGG